AUUUCAUGUUUCUGCAUGUGGGUUUUGUUCUCAAGAAGAUUUUGUAUGGAACAAAAAAAGGUGAGAAGAGGGUAAGAGAUUUUCAGAGUGGAGGAAAGGAUGGAAAGGAGAGAUUUCCUAUUUUGGGAACUAACUUUGCUGGAUUUGGUAUGGAUGGAAAGCUCCAAUGCAAACCUUCUCCUUCUGUCAUAAACUAUGAAGAUUGGCUUGAAAUGAUGAGGAGUUUGUUCUCUUGAGGUUUCUAUGAGAUUUUGAAAGCCAAUUGCAUGGACAAAGUCCACGGCCAGACACAAAGAUUUUGUUCACUGGCCAUAAGGUUCCAUUUAACAACUGGCUCUGAUGUGUAUGUGCACCAAUUAGGAACUCUACCCAAUCCAUGGUGCUAGUUGUUAAAGGGCACUACAAGGCUCUGUAUGGAUUUUCCUGUUGACUUCUUCCAUGUGCUAAAUUUGUAAAAAAUUUAUAAGAAAAAAAAUGAUGGUCAUAACCUUGGUUUUUAAACCCAGAAAUCAGAAUGUAUCAGACAAUCGAACUGGAUUGAGAGCAAUGUAACAGCUAUUCAGCAAAUGCAAAGAGCAUUACCAAGAGCAUUUUGUAACAGAUUUGGUCGCCAUCAUCAGCUCUAUUUUAGAACUUGGAGAACCUGCAAACGAAGUGCUUGAAAGCCACAAUGUAUUACAAGAUCAGUUACAGGCCUCUCAGAUUUGUUCUCAAGUACCUGAAUCACUGGAUGUAAAAUGCAGUGUAUAACCAUAAAAGUUGGGAGUAUGAAACAAAUCCAUGAAUUCAUUAAAUAUUCAAACUUCAGCAGUCAACGGAACAAAGAAAGAGGGCAUUCAGAAAGGAAUGCAUGUAGCCAACUUAUACUUCUGCUGAGGAGACAUCUAAUACUUCAGAAAGGAAUGCCUGCACCAGUAAUGAAAGAGAUCAGCUUGAGUGCUUGACUAUGGAUGAACCUCAAACGAUACCAAAGAUACCGCAUUAAAGUUCAUACAUGUAUUUACUUUUGUGGAUUUUCUGUUAGUCUUUUUCGGUAGGAAGUGAGGUAAAGGGAAGUAUUUUAGCAUGGG